UAUUGAGGGAAUAAGAAUGUUUCAGGGAGAGAAAUCACGUGAAAAUAGAUUCAACAAACUGAUAUCACUGAGCCCUUAGUGGAUGAAGAAAGAAAGAAAGCAGACUGGAGGAAGAGGAACCGACUCAGCUUUUGCUUGUCACGCAAAGCAGGAAGAAGGACAUGCAGGUGAGUGUCUGUGACAUGCAGUUGGCUGUUGCUGUGGGAAAGCAUGGCAUCCUCAGGGUAAUGCAAGAGAGACUGAUACUCAAAGUCUCAUGGCCUGAUGGCACUUCCCAUCCACUUGGCUGUGGGGGAAACAUAAGAUCUCUGCCAGAAGGGCAGCCACAGAUGCUGCCAACCUUGUCUUUUCCAAGCACUGAUGGCUAGGUAAGUGAACAUUAUCCACUUUAACCCACUUCAUUGUCAUCCCCUCCCUCCAUUCUUUCAUCCACCAUCACCCUUUCUACCACCUGCAUUUCCCUUUCUGCCAGCCGCUUGCACAGCACCCAGAAGAGCAGGCCCUGCUCUUCCUUUGUUGUUGAACAAGGGGGAAUGGUUUCAGACUAGAAGAGGGGAGAUAUAGGCCAGAUAUAAGGAAAACGUUUUUGCAGUAAGGGUGGUGAGGCACUGGAACAGGUUGCCCAGAGAUGCGAUGGAUGCUCCGUCCCUGGAGACGUUCAAGGUCAGGCUCUGAGCAACCUGAUCUAGCUGUAGGUGUCCCUGUUCAUCGCAGAGGAGUUGGACUACAUGGCCUUUAAAUGUCCCUUCCAACUCAAACGACACUAUGACUCCUCACCCCUCGGGGCCUGCUGCAUCAGAUGAAACGAGUGGACAAAAACCCCUCUGCACUCUCGAUUCACACUUCAGAGAGCUCGUCUUCAGGGUCCCAGCAGCAAGCUCAAGCACGAGAGCAGCUCCUCACCAACGGACACAGAGCUGAUUCACAUUUACAAGAUGGAACGUAAAGAAGUUCGAGAGGCUCCAGACCGAACGGGGCAAGGAGCCCAGGUUAACUGCCGCCAUUUCGCAGAGCGGACACCCGCCACCCGGUGUCCUCGCUGCCCUGGGGCGGCCGAGAGGGUGGGGAAAGCACCCACACGAGGGUCGGGCGGCGGGUGAGAGGGGCCGCGGAGCACGCUGAGGUGAGGCCGGGCCGAGAGGGCGGCGCCGGGGGCUCGGGCUGCAGAGCGGCGGCGCCGGGGGAGGCCGGGAUAUUCCUGAAUGAACGGCUCCCUCCCCGCCUCGCCCCGCACCCCCGCCCGCCACUCGCCGCCGCCGCUCCGAGGCGCAGCCAGUUUCUAUAGCGACGGCGCCGAUCCUCCGAGUAGUAACAAAGCCGGCUGCCCGCGGCCGCGCCGGGCCGGCGGGGGAAGCGGCUCCCUCUCCCCAGGGCACCGGCCGGUUGCGCCCAGUCAGGAAUUUUCAUUACUGAAGAGAAAUACAUCUUUAAACUAGCUGAAAACAAGGCUGGUUGGUGCAGUUGUUUCCUGUGUGGAGGAGAACAGGCAUUUCCUGUGCUCCCUACAAGUGAAUCUUUGCAAGAACUUCUUUUUCUUGGAAAGUGACCCACCCAUAGGGUUGAAGCUGCAGAACCUGCGUUUUGACAAGCUCUGAUCAUCACUGUGUUCAGCAGCUAUACGAAGAAACAGAAAAAUGAGUUAUUC
rnacentral:lncRNA from 1 species